GUUGUUGGAAGUGCUGGAAGCAAAGAAAAGGUUGAGCUUUUGAAGAACAAAUUUGGUUUCGAUGAAGCAUUUAACUAUAAAGAGGAACAAGAUUUAUCAGCAGCUUUGAAAAGGUACUUCCCAGAUGGAAUUGAUAUCUACUUUGAGAACGUUGGAGGAAAGAUGCUUGACGCGGUUCUUCUCAACAUGAGAGGCCAUGGACGAAUAGCUGUAUGUGGGAUGAUCUCACAAUACAACCUCGAGCAAAACGAAGGUGUUCACAACUUGUUCUGCCUCAUUUCAAAACGACUCCGUAUGCAAGGAUUUUUGGCUGUUGAUUACUUUCCCCUCUACAAAAAAUUUGUAGAAAUGGUUACUCCACACAUAAAAGAAGGGAAGGUAACCUAUGUGGAGGACAUAGCUGAAGGAAUUGAAAGUGCACCAGGUGCUCUAGUUGGCCUCUUCUCUGGUCGAAACGUUGGAAAACAGGUAGUGCUCGUUGCUCGUGAAUAAACUUAUCGAGUGUGUUUGAUACGAUGGAAGAUACUUUCGUCGUGUUACUAAGUACCAACAAAUAACUCUCUCAUGUUCAUCAUCAAGAUUGGAUGUGUAAUUUUCUCUAUGAUACAAACAUAUCUUAUCAAGUAUGCUAAGUUUGUAUAGACCAAAAGUUGUGUUGAGUUUGGAGUUGGUGUUGGUGAGGAUUGUUUUAUCAGUAUUUUGGACAUGAU
rnacentral:misc_RNA from 1 species